rnacentral:rRNA from 1 species
UGCCAUAUUUUAAUUUUUAUGGUAGUACCUGCUCUAUGUAGAAUACUAUAAAUGGCCGCAGUAUCUUGACUGUGCAAAGGUAGCAUAAUUAAUUGCCUUAUAAUUGAAGGCUUGUCUGAAUGGUUUGACGUGGUAAUUACGAAUAUUUGAUUUUUUGUUGAAAUUGAUAUGGAGGGCACAGAAUCCUCCUUAUUUAAUUAGACGGAAAGACCCCAGGAUCUUUCAUUUUUGUCUGGGGCAGAUGAGAAUUUUUCAUUUUUAUUUUGACCCUUUUUGGUUUAGUGGGCUAAGUUACCCUGGGGAUAACAGUGUAAUAGUUUAUUAGAGGCCUUAUCGAAUGAACUGUUUGCUACCUCGAUGUUGACUUAGGUAUAUAAGCUGGGCGCAGUAGUCUAGCUUUUCGGUCUGUUCGACCGUUGUUACCUCC